rnacentral:rRNA from 1 species
CCUACGGGAGGCAGCAGUGGGGAAUAUUGCUCAAUGGGCGAAAGCCUGAAGCAGCCACGCCGCGUGAAGGAUGACGGCCUUCGGGUUGUUAAACUCUUUUAGCAGGGAAGUACCGCGACUGUCCUAUACCGCUGUGCAUUGACGGUACCUGCAAAGGAAGCACCGGCUAACUCCGUCCCAGCCGCCGCGGUAAUACGGAGGGUGCGAGCGUUAAUCGGAAUUGCUGGGAGUAAAGCGCUCGUAGGCGGUAUGUUAAGUCAAAUGUGAAAUCCCCGGGCUCAACCGGGGAACUGCAGUUGAAACUGGCAAGCUUGAGUGUGGGAGAGGAUGGUGGAAUUCCAGGUGUAGGGGUGAAAUGCGUAGAUAUCAGGAGGAACACCGGUGGCGAAGGCGGCUUGCUGGACCAUAACUGACGCUGAGGAGCGAAAGCGUGGGUAGCAAACAGGAUUAGAUACCCGGGUAGUC